AUAAAAAUGGCCGGCGUUCAUUUUCGCCUGCAAAUAUUUAUUAAACUGAAAAAUGUUUAGUUUUUGCAAUCUUGUCUACAUCCGCAACACUAUUAGCGCUUUUCAGUUCUGUGCUGGAACUAGAGGUGAAACAACAGAUUCAAUGUGAUGACGAUAGUUAUCCUCCUAUGUGCUUUGGUGGCAGUAGGGAGUUCAACCAUCAUACCAUUCACAACACAUGAUUCCUCAUCCCCAGAGAGUUAUGAAGAUUUCAGAUUUCUAGCCUUUCCGUCUCAUCAUAAUAUUCCUGAAAAACAAGAGGAUAGAGGUUUGCCCAGCUUCCUAUGUAAUGCAAUAUUUGUCUUCAUAAUUGCGUGCACUACCAUUGUCAUCGUAAGCGGACUUUGUCUCCUCUGCUUCACUAUAUGGCAAAUGUACCUUGAAGCGAAACUCUACAACGCCUACUUCAUCUGCACCCCUAAUGUACAAGAAAUUUACAAGAUUUAAAUCAACUCUGAGUGGCUGAUUAUGCAACAGAAUAAAUAUCUUGCCAGUAGUAA